UACGUAGGGACCAAGCGUUGUCCGGAAUUAUUGGGCGUAAAGAGCUCGUAGGCGGUCUGUUGCGUCUGCUGUGAAAACUCGGGGCUUAACCCCGAGCCUGCAGUGGAUACGGGCAGACUAGAGGUAGGUAGGGGAGAAUGGAAUUCCCGGUGUAGCGGUGAAAUGCGCAGAUAUCGGGAGGAACACCGGUGGCGAAGGCGGUUCUCUGGGCCUUACCUGACGCUGAGGAGCGAAAGCGUGGGGAGCGAACAGG
rnacentral:rRNA from 1 species